rnacentral:rRNA from 1 species
UACAGAGGUCCCAAGCGUUGUUCGGAUUCACUGGGCGUAAAGGGUGCGUAGGCGGUCGGGUAAGUCUGACGUGAAAUCUUCAAGCUCAACUUGGAAACUGCGUCCGAUACUAUUCGGCUCGAGGAAUGGAGGGGAGACUGGAAUACUUGGUGUAGCAGUGAAAAUGCGUAGAUAUCAAGUGGAACACCAGUGGCGAAGGCGAGUCUCUGGACAUUUCCUGACGCUGAGGCACGAAAAGCGUGGGGAGCAAACAGG